rnacentral:rRNA from 1 species
AUUGAACGCUGGCGGCAGGCCUAACACAUGCAAGUCGAACGAGUGGCGGACGGGUGAGUAAUGUCUGGGAAACCGCCUGAUGGAGGGGGAUAACCACUGGAAACGGUCGCUAAUACCGCAUACUAUCGGAUGUGCCCAUAUGGGAUGAGGUAGUAGGUGGGGUAAAGGCUCACCGAGGCGACGAUCCCUAGCUGGUCUGAGAGGAUGACCAGCAACACGGGAACUGAGACACGGUCCAGACUCCUACGGGAGGCAGCAGUGGGGAAUAUUGCACAAUGGGCGCAAGCCUGAUGCAGCCAUGCCGCGGGUAUGAAGAAGGCCUUCGGGUUGUAAAGUACUUUCAGCGGGGAGGCGUUACCCGCAGAAGAAGCACCGGCUAACUCCGUGCCAGCCGCCGCGGUAAUUC